AAAAUCCUCUGGAGAGUGGGUCCAGGACUUACACCUGCAAACUUCCUGUUUCUUGGGUUGAGAAAAGAUGUAUACUACUCCCACGAGGAAAGAACGACUAUCUUUGAUUAUAUCGUCAAAACGAAGAGGUUCGGAGAGGU